rnacentral:lncRNA from 1 species
CGUUAUUUCUGCAGGAUUACUUAUGCUUUGUUUUGUUAUUGUGUUUUGUCUUGUCUUGGUUCCUAACUUUAUCUUUGUUUUCCAAUGCAGCUCUCCAUGCUGUCCUAUGCGCCGAGGGUCGCUUGGAAGCAGCCUCUCUGCCCUUUUGGGUAGGGGAAAGGCUGUCUACAUAUUACCUUCCCCAGACCCCACCUGGUGGGAGUAUACUGGGUAGUUGUUGUUGUUGUUGUUGUUGUUGUUGUUAGUAAAGUAACUAAUGAGGAAAUAAAAAAGUUGUUUUCUCUAUGCAUCCUCAUAAGUUCCUUGAUGUUGAUGGAAUGACUCCUCUAUUUUUUCAAAUAAUUUUGGCCGUUAAUUUCUCAUGAUGUCUGUUUGGCCAUAAGGUAUUUUUUGAGACAAGUCAACUUUUACCCGUUUGGAAUCAAACUUUAAUAACGUUGGUACCAAAAAUAAAAACAUCUACUACCGUAAAUCACUUUAGACCUAUUAGCUUAUGCUCUACGUUAUAUAAGAUCAUUACAAAAGUUUUGGUGAAACGUAUGAAACCGUUGAUGCCUUUACUUAUCUCUAUGAAUUCAGCUGGUUUUGUGGGAAAAAAGACAAAUUAUUGAUAAUGUUGUAUUAGCACAUGAAGGACUCUCAUGUUCAGAGAAUGAAGGUUGCGGAGAUGCGGAUGCUCAGGUGGAUGUUCGGGCUCACCAGGUUAGAUAAGAUUAAGAAUGAAGUUAUUCGUGAGAAGGUGGGGGUGGCCCCNNNN